CAUGUAUGGACUACAUAGGCAUCACAGCCAGUGAUAGGAGAAUUUGGUAUCUGGAAACUUCCAGUGGAAAUUUCCUCUAGCCAAGACCGCCCAGACACAUUGUGAGCCUUAUUCAGCUCUGCCCCAGGUCCCACACAGCACUGGAGAUGGAGUGACCUGCUGUAGACACAUAACUUCUCAUGAAUGGGUGUGACCUGCCAAGAUGCCAAUCAACCUGCUGACUGCAAGACAUCAUGAAGUAAGACUCCAUCCCUGAGGCCUUAUCUCUGCCUUUGAUGUACCUCCUUAAAUAAACCACUGGAGCCAUUUUCUAAUUUUCCAGCUUCAGCUCCUGUGUGGACUGGAUCUAUCAGGCACUCUGCUUCAAAACUAUGAUUCUGACUCUGCUUCUAUUUCUUCACUAAUUAUUUCUAACUCAUCUUCUCUGGUGCCUUACACCCUCCUGGGCAGGAAGAAGGAUCCCCUAGCAAGGCACUGGCUGACUCCUCAUACACAAGUUGAUAGUCAAAGUCUCAAAAGAACCUCUGCAGAUUUCUAGACCUCUUUCUCUGUAAAGUUUCCUCCUACCCAUUAUUUAUGAUCUCUGUCUCCAUGCAGCAAGACCAGCAGGCUCUAUUUGAUUUCCCUCUUCCUCAACCAUUUCCAGAAAAUUGCUUCUAGGAAGAAAUCAAACAAUUGUAAAAUCCAUCUUUUUAAUCCCCUUCUCUUCAACAUUCUAGGGCUGCAUUAUCUAUUCUUCAAUAUCUGAAAAAAUAUCGUCUCUUUUUUUGUCUAGUUAGUCAGGUUUCCUUUAUGGGGAUGGGAGAAAGUACAGACCUGUAGUGACUCUUUUAAGGGCCACAAUCUUACAUUCAAACUCUCAGGGAUUAUAUCCACCUGUAUUCUUUACUUAUUGAUUGAGUACAAAUGGAACCAAGAUACCCCACACUGAAUUGGACUUAAGUUUUUCAACCAGAUACCACAAGCAGUUUAGCUUGUAGUAAAAUUAGGCCAGGCUUACCUUCAGAGCCAUGUGCAUUCCAUUUCCAAAUCCUUUCCUCAGGUUUCUGUCAUCUCUAUUCUAUCAGAACCAUUUCCUCCAAAACGUAUAAAACAUUUAAAAAGUGAUCAAGCCUUAAUAUAAGGAAAUGACGCUCCAGUGCUGAUAAAUUCAGGCAGAUGGCGGAGACUUUGAGGCAUGCAGGGGAGCCAUCUGGUGGGAUCCUUUCACAUAGUAGCCUACUUGGAGACCCAAAGAAUACUGAUUUCAAGCAAAUAUAUGUCUUCCUUCUCCUAUUAAAUAAAAACUGCACCUUUGCUUGAAUUGAGAUCUGCUUCACCUGAGGGUUUUAUGGUUUCUCAGUGAAAGUUCAAGGAUAUGAAUUUCAAAAGAAUCUAUGAAUUGCUCAAGUCUUAUGACCCAACUUCACCCAGAGAUUGUGCCAUCCAAGUUCCUGAAUGCCAUGUAAAAAGCUCCAAAGUUAAUUGGAAUAGUGGUGUGUGUGUGUGUGUGUAACUUCUAUCAGGUUAAUGUUCUGUCCUUCCCAGGACUUCACAGAAGCAACUCUGCAAAUGUCACAGGAGGGUCCAUGUGGACUACUUAUGCCAGUCAAUAUUGCAUUAUCUGAAGAAAUAUCCCCCUCAGAACUGCAGCAUUUAGCUCACUGACUGAAC
rnacentral:lncRNA from 1 species